GCCGGAGUGGCGAAAUGGCAGACGCAGCAGCCUCAAAAGCUGCCGAGGGCAACCUCAUGGGGGUUCAACUCCCUUCUCCGGCACCA
rnacentral:tRNA from 1 species